UUUGGCGACACACAGUUUCAGAUAAAAAAACAAAAAAAAAAACAAAAAAAAAAACAGGAUGAGGGUUGGGAGCGCAGAACAAAUGGACUCGUGCGAAAUCUUGCAGCCAAAAAGAAGGAACAAAAAAGAAGAGAGAAAGUGUCUCUGACAACGCCUUCUUAGAGCCUGCUUCCACUUUUUGAGGCUCUGGUUCGCAAAAUUGAUUGGUACCGAAUCUGAGUACGAGCUGAAUUCUAAUACUAAAGGGUGAAAGAACAUGGAGGCAAAAAUGGCUCAGAGUUUACAGUUUUCGACCUGGAUUGAUUCGGAGAAAAUGAUGGGUAGAAAACCGGCCGGUUCGGUUCGGUUUUCUCAGAGAUUGAAGAAGCAGAGCAAGCUUCCAGUGCUUGUUUCAGCUCGAGUUCCCACCACAACAUCUUCUAAUCGGCAUAGCAAAGUCGAUUUGGUGGUUUCAUGCUCUUACAAGAAUUUUCCAGGCUCAACGUUGGAAUCUGGAAGCCCUCAUGCAUCUGUUGAAGAAGAUCUAAUUUUGAAGAAUAAAUCAGAAGAGGUCGAGCCAUAUUUAAGUGGACGCUGUAUAUAUCUCGUUGGUAUGAUGGGCUCUGGUAAAACGACUGUGGGCAAGAUUUUGUCACAAGUACUUGGUUAUACCUUUUUUGAUUGUGACACAUUGAUAGAGGGGGAAGUCCAUGGAACUUCUGUGGCUGAAAUCUUCAAGCUCUAUGGAGAGGCUUUCUUCAGAGAUAAGGAGACUGAGGUACUGCAGAGGCUCUCUUUGAUGCGUCGUCUUGUUGUUUCUACAGGUGGAGGUGCAGUUGUUCGGCCAAUUAACUGGUCGUAUAUGCAGAAGGGUAUUAGUGUCUGGUUAGAUGUGCCUUUGGAAGCCUUGGCUGAAAGAAUUGCAGCGGUUGGAACUGGUUCACGCCCUCUUUUACAUCAUGAAACUGGGGAUGCAUAUACAAAGACGUACAACCGUUUGUCUAUGCUUUUUGAAGAGAGGAGUGGAUCAUAUGCCAAUGCAAAUGCGAGGGUUUGCUUGGAGAAUAUUGCCACCAAAUUAGGUCAAAGAGAUGUAUCCGAUGUUACACCUACUGCUAUUGCAAUUGAGGCACUUGAACAAAUCAGUAUCUUUCUGAAGGGAGAGGAUGGCCAUGUUACAUUCUGAAUCUGCGAGUUUCAACAAACAACUGUCAUAUGGAACAUAAUGAAUGGCUUUAAGGCUCUCAUGAUAUUUGAAGGUUCUAGCAAGUGUAUAUAUUGGCCGUUUCUCUACCACAUUAUAAUCCCGUAAUUAUCCUACCUACAAGUGAAUUUCCGUGAUUGAGGCAUGCAUAGAGAGUGAAGCCCUAAAUCAAUCCCAAGAAAGCUUCCUCUCCUUGAAGUUGGAUCUUCACGUCCACAGACCAUUUGUCCUGUUCCAUGCCAUGCAUGACCGUAUGUUGAACAAAAAUUAGAAUUGUGGAAUUUGCUAAUUUGGUAAUAGCAGAGGUGUAUCAAAUUCUAAAUAGAGUAAUAACAGGGUUAUCUAAUUUUGUUUUCUAUAAGUUUAGAGAACUAUGUGAAGGGAUAUGUUAAUGGCUAAACUUGAUAAAAUAAUACCGCAUCAUUUUCUUUA